CACGAACGCUGGCGGCAGGCUUAACACAUGCAAGUCGAGCGCCCCGCAAGGGGAGCGGCAGACGGGUGAGUAACGCGUGGGAAUCUACCCAUCUCUACGGAAUAACGCAUGGAAACGUGUGCUAAUACCGUAUACGUCCUUCGGGAGAAAGAUUUAUCGGAGAUGGAUGAGCCCGCGUUGGAUUAGCUAGUUGGUGGGGUAAAGGCCUACCAAGGCGACGAUACAUAGCUGGUCUGAGAGGAUGAUCAGCCACACUGGGACUGAGACACGGCCCAGACUCCUACGGGAGGAAGCAGUGGGGAAUAUUGGACAAUGGGCGCAAGCCUGAUCCAGCCAUGCCGCGUGAGGGAUGAAGGCCCUAGGGUUGUAAAGCUCUUUCACCGGUGAAGAUAAUGACGGUAACCGGAGAGGAAGCACCGGCUAACUUCGUGCCAGCAGCCGCCGCCGUAA
rnacentral:rRNA from 1 species